CCUGCCACGCAGACUUGGGACCACAUUGAACUGCAUCCCAACAAACCCUGGAAGAUGCACAAGUAGCAAAUCAAAGACUCCCCUUCGUGGGACUGUGGUACCUAAAAGAUUUUGCAGACUCCAGUGCAAUACAAUUUCUGAGUUGGAAGAAUGCAAAUGUACUAGUGGGGGCUAUCCUCCCAGCCUCCCAAUCAGGAAAAGGAGGCGGAGUGCACAGUGCUGAGGAAAACUGCACAGUGACACUAAAGACAGACUGAUGGAGCAGAAAUGGGGCUGUGUUUCAGUUGUAGUGUUAGAGAAAGACGACAUUAUUGCUGCCCUGCAGAUCGAUGUCCUCUGUAUAGCCACCAAUGCCUGCACUCUUCCCUCCUCAGCUCUAUCUGCUUGGAUUUCCUCCGAACCUCUGACAUCCUGUGACUGCUCCUUGGCCUUGGUGAGCAAGCAAUCUGGUUAGCUGGAGGCUCUCACCGCCGGAUCGCUGGAGCUGGAGUGCUCCAUAUAGCUUGGAAAGACUGCAUAUUGCCCCAGUUUUGGUGAUCAGGCCACCACUGGCUGCCUUAUUGUAUUGGCUCAGUACUACCCCUGGUAUCACACUUCCCACCAUCCAGCCCCAGCAGACUGCAUCUGAGUGAAUAUUCGCAAAAGGGACUUCUACCUGCUGCUCUCCACACUUGGCCGCUGCCUGCACAAAGCUAAGCAGCAGGACUCGCUUCAGGAACCUUGUCCUCAUUUGCUUUCAAGCUCUUCUUCCCUGAAUCGCCUGGAGGUGUCUUCAGCCAGCUCGUUAGAUCCCAAGAAUCCUGGCCUUGGGCCACUACAUUAUUGUAGCCAGGCAGUGCUGACAUACUGCCUAGUAGUCUUCCGCCUGGGUUGCCUUCUUCAUUCAGGUUCACCUGCUGUGGGACAGGGGACACUGGCAGGGGAUUGCUAGCCCCUUCAUCGUCUCUUAACUGCACUGGGCAGAGCACUGUUAUUGUCAUCAUCAUCGCUAGUCACAGUAUUUAUGAUCAGUGAUACAGUAGCGCUCAGAGACCCCGAUCAGGCUCAGGGCUCCAUUAUUCCAAGCACUGUAUGCCCCGAAGAGCAGUGUAUUUCCAGAGAAACUCCUGCACUGGACUCGGAGAUAGGGACUGGAGCAUCUAGUAGGUCCUUUUCUUCUCUCACUCCCGGGGAUUCUCUAUGGACUAUCUUCUUGCUCUCUCCAUUUUCCCACAGCUCAGGGUGAUACAGGGUCAGAGAUUUUCCCUUGGAGUCUUUGGGGUAGCAAGUCUGAGAAGGACUCCCUU